UCAGGGGCAGGAUGAGGAAUCGGAGGAGAGAGGCGACCAAGGCCAUAAAGAUCAGCCCCCGCACACCACAUGUUCGAUGAUAUGCCCACAACGCGCUGCAGCCAUAGCCCACAGCGACGUCUUCUUGUCCUCUCUUGCAGUCGCUCGCCGGUCCACGCUGCCAUCCAUCAAUGUUGACAAGUCAACAUCUAAAAGGUUGUCCAAGAAGGUAUGAAGGUCAACGUGACAUCCUGUCCAACCUAACUUAUAAUCUUGACCAACUUGCUUUCGCAUCGGACAGAAUUAAAGAUGCUCAACACACUGCUGCCAAUAACGAGCUGAAAGGGAGGAUGAAGAUGGUCAUGAUUGAAGAGCAUGCAAGACGAGACGAUGGAUGUUAUGGAUGUGAGCAGUGAAAUACAAGAAACUCUUGGUAGAAGCUACAAUGUCCCAGAUGACAUCCACGAGGACGACCUUAUAUGGAGGGUAGGACUCUUAUUUGAGGGAGAAGAGUCACAAAUUUGGAGGAGGGAGGCGAGCAAGGCACCAUAAAGACAGUUUCUGCACACAAACUAGUCGUCCGCUACAUGUCCCAACGACGUCUUAUUCUCCCCUCCUUGACGAUAAAUCAUUGGAUCAAAUGCUAGAGCACUUUUGCUUCUAUUUGUCUUCCUGCUCACGUCCUGAUGAGGGGAAAAGAGCAAAUACUGGAGCACAGGAAGACAUUGAGAUAUGGCAACAGGAGAAGCUUCGUUGGUUAAGUAUUUGGCACGACUGGAACAUUGGCGUAUAAGGUGUCUAUUAAUUUAAAAACAAUAGCAGUGAGGCAACAUACUAUAGGCCUAAACACUAUACAGGCAAACAUGAGCCUUGCCUGUACAUGUUUGGUUGGUUGCCUGGCAUGAGCUAGAUGCAGCUUUCUCGUGUUAAGUAUCUUAAAAAGGGGUGAUAGAUCAUCUCUGCCCAUGAUAAUAUUGUUAAUCAGCUUUGAUGCUUGUGGCAGUAGUAUUGCUAUCACAGAAGUUGCUAUACCUUCUGAUCAAGUGAUAUAGUAAUACUUUCGAGUGGUAUUGUAACUUAUCUUCUGUACAUUUUCAUUAAUUUUCCUCCUA